rnacentral:rRNA from 1 species
UGCCAGCAGCCGCGGUAAUACCGGCGCCUCAAGUGGUAGUCGCUUUUAUUGGGCCUAAAACGUCCGUAGCCGGUCUGGUACAUUCGUGGGUAAAUCAACUCGCUCAACGAGUUGAAUUCUGCGAGGACGGCCAGACUUGGGACCGGGAGAGGUGUGGGGUACUCUCAGGGUAGGGGUAAAAUCCUGUCAUCCUGAGAGGACCACCUGUUGCGAAGGCGCCACACUGGAACGGAUCCGACGGUCAGGGACGAAGCCUAGGGGCACGAACCGGAUUAGAUA